GACAACAUGCAAGCACAACUUUUCAUGCUCUCAUUCAUUUUCCUAUAAAUACAUCCACACCAUCAACACUUCUUUCACACCAUCACUCUCACUACUUCUUCUAUAAUACUUCUUCUACAAUUUCAUCUGCAACAACUUCUUGUAGUUUCAUCUGCACCAACCGCUUUCGUCCCCGACAAAAUGUCUAUCCUCACAAUUGGCGAAUCGCAUAGAGGAACGGUUGCAAACAUAGCAACUUAUGUAAGCGUUUUC
rnacentral:lncRNA from 1 species